CACAUGGUGGAUGCCGCCACCAGCAGCCCAAUCACGGCUAGGGCAUAGCUUGGGUAAUCCUUUGUCACCAGCUGCCCCUGCAAGGGAGAGAAGCAACAUUGGAGCUGUGGGAUUGGUGGUUUUCAGGGUCCUGGAGCCAGGUCUGGAGCAAAGCUGCGCGUGUGUAUCUAAGCAGGACAGUGGAGAAGCAUGUGCAGGUUGUAGCAGCCCAUGACUGUCCUCAGUGCUUUUCUUUGUCCAACUAUACAUGCUUAAAAUUGACAACAAGAACAGAGCUGCUGACAAAAAUAGUGGGGAGAACUUCUGCAAGCUUUGGGAUGACUUGGGAGACCAGUGAUGCGCAAGGUGACCAUCUUUGAAAACAGACUUACUGGCACUGUUGUGCUUGCACUGAAUUGCUGUGAAAGGAGGAGCAGAGUUUCGGCAGAAGGUACUUUUGAGACCAAAGCCAAGAAGAGCAGGGAGCAGUGUGUACGGCUCAUUAAUACUCCCUGGCCUGCAGAGAAGAUGUCAGCCCAGCCUGGCCCCCGCACAGCCCUGAACCUGAGGCCCUGGAGGAGGCUGCAGGGCAGGGGACACACCCAUUGCCUUGCUGGUACCACAGCAUAGGAGAAAAAUUUAGCCCAAGAUAUAACACACAGCAAUGGUUUCUACCAGCACGAUGAGCAGCAGUGAGAGGGUGGCUGCAUAGUCAUUGAAUAUGUCAAACCAAUAAUUUCCGGCCUCCAUGGUGAAGAUGAGGCCAAUCACACAGUUAAUGAAACACACAACACCUGUGUGGAUAAAACAGGGACCGUGCUGUUACACCUGGAAAUCUAAUUGCAUGGGGGAAAUGUCAUACUUCUUGUGACUAAAAAGCUGGUGGGAUUUCUACUGAUUUCUGCAGGGGAGCAGCUUUUUCAGAGGAGGAAGCUUUCGUAAUUAAACGUCGCCUUGAAGCCAUAGAUGGAGAAAGUCACAACGCUGGCAAAUAUGGAUGUGGUGCUGUUGA